rfam:Cricetulus griseus cell line CHO-K1, whole genome shotgun sequence.
AAAAAGGGCUUCUGUCGUGAGUGGCACACGUAGGGCAACCAGAUUGCUCUACGUGCGGAAUCGACAUCAAGAGAUUUCGGAAGCAUAAUUUUUUGAUACCUGGGCAGCUGGUGAUCGUUAAAAAAAAAAAAAAAAAAAAAGACUUUAUUACUUUUAAAAUAUUGAUGACUGUCUAUACCCAUUUUUCUUUUCUUUCUUCAGCCCCUAA